UGGGGAAUUUUGGACAAUGGGGGAAACCCUGAUCCAGCCAUCCCGCGUGUGCGAUGAAGGCCUUCGGGUUGUAAAGCACUUUUGGCAGGAAAGAAACGUCAUGGGUUAAUACCCCGUGAAACUGACGGUACCUGCAGAAUAAGCACCGGCUAACUACGUGCCAGCAGCCGCGGUUAUACGUAGGGUGCAAGCGUUAAUCGGAAUUACUGGGCGUAAAGCGUGCGCAGGCGGUUCGGAAAGAAAGAUGUGAAAUCCCAGAGCUCAACUUUGGAACUGCAUUUUUAACUACCGGGCUAGAGUGUGUCAGAGGGAGGUGGAAUUCCGCGUGUAGCAGUGAAAUGCGUAGAUAUGCGGAGGAACACCGAUGGCGAAGGCAGCCUCCUGGGAUAACACUGACGCUCAUGCACGAAAGCGUGGGGAGCAAACAGG
rnacentral:rRNA from 1 species